GUCCACGCCUUAAACGAUGGAUACUCGGUGUCGGGCCGUAAGGCUCGGUGCCUAAGCAAACGCAUUAAGUAUCUCACCUGGGGAGUACGAUCGCAAGGUUGAAACUCAAAGGAAUUGACGGGGGCCCGCACAAGCAGUGGAGCAUGUGGUUCAAUUCGAUGCAACGCGAAGAACCUUACCUGGGUUUGAAAGGCAAGUGACAUCCCGUGAAAGCGGGACUCUCCGCAAGGGGCACUUGUACAGGUGCUGCAUGGCUGUCGU
rnacentral:rRNA from 1 species